AGGGGUAUAGCUCAAUGGUAGAGUGUCACCUUGACGUGGUGAUGGUCAUCGGUUCGAGCCCGAUUAUCCCUA
rnacentral:tRNA from 1 species